GCGGGUUAAAAGCUCGUAGUUGGAUUUCUGUUGGGAACGACCGGUCCGCCCAUUGGGUGUGUAUCUGGCUUGUUCUCGGCAUCUUCUUGGUGAACGUUGCUGCACUUGACUGUGUGGAGCGCUACCCAGGACUUUUACUUUGAGGAAAUUAGAGUGUUUCAAGCAGGCUUACGCCUUGAAUACAUUAGCAUGGAAUAAUAGCAUCGGACCUCGCUCCAAAGCUGUUGGUUUCUUGGGUCGAGGUAAAGGUGAAUAGGGAUUGUUGGGGGCAUUCGUAUUUAACUGUCAGAGGUGAAAUUCUUGGAUUUGUUGAAGACGGACUACUGCGAAAGCAUCUGCCAAAGAUGUUCUCAUUGAUCAAGAACGAAAGUUAGGUGAUCGAAGACGAUCAGAUACCGUCCUAGUCUUAACCAUAAACUAUGCCGACUGGAGAUAGGGGGUCGUUAAAUUGGUGACGCCUUCUGCAUCUUGAGAGAAAUCAAAGUCUUUGGGUUCCGGGGGGAGUAUGGUCGCAAGGCUGAAACUUAAAGGAAUUGACGGAAGGGCACCACCAGGAGUGGAGCCUGCGGCUUAAUUUGACUCAACACGGGGAAACUUACCAGGUCCAGACAUAGUGAGGAUUGACAGACUGAUAGCUCUUUCGAGAUUCUAUGGGUGGUGGUGCAUGGCCGUUCUUAGUUGGUGGAGUGAUUUGUCUGGUUAAUUCCGUUAACGAACGAGACCUUAACCUGCUAAAUAGGCUCCAGAAUCUUCGGUUCCAGGAGCCUUCUUAGAGGGACGUCGCGUGUCUAACGCUAGGAAGUGUGAGCAAUAACAGUCUGUGAUGCCUUAGAUGUCUGGGCUGCACGC
rnacentral:rRNA from 1 species